GUGACAUUAAAACACAAAACAUGGUCACAGCCCCUUUGGGAACACAGACUAAAAACAGCGCAGAGCUAAAGACCGCUGUGGAGCAAACAGGACAUCAGAGCACAGCAGCCCUGAAGGAUCCUUCCUCCAUGAUCCUGCAGACUUUCCUCUGACCCUCUGGGUCUGUGUCCACCCAGCUGAGCUUAUAAAACCCUGAACAAAGAAAAAAAGAGCCAUGAACCAAAAUGCAGGAAGUACAGAAUUAACAUUGAACCCAGACCAUGAAUACGCCGUCAUAGACAGAACUGGCAUCACCAAGGGAGACCCGGCAGAGCAGGCCUCUGUGGAGCCUGGUGCUGAUGUCACCUACAGCUCCAUUCUCCUGCCAGAUCCACAGCAGGUGUCCUCUAGAUGUUCUUCACACCGUGCUGCUGUAACCCCAGCCAGUGAUGUGGUCUACAGCCCAGUCACCCAGCAGCACAGAGAGUAGGGGGCAGCAACACAGAGAGGCUCCUCUACAUGUGGGGAGCUGCUGCUCUGGAUGAGGGCUGUGAGGGAGACACAGAUACUGCAGUGAUCAUCACCAGACAGGAGCAUCUUACAGUGAUGUGAGCUGUAUUUAAAUAGCAUGCAGCUCUCUCACAUUAUAGUAUGAUCAAUGUGCUGUUUACCUCACUUGUACAUUGCUUUGGACAUGAUGGAAUAAAUGUAAAUGUAAGAUAUUAUCUUUGAGAUCUGUGAAUUGUCACUUUUCAUUCAUUUAAAUGGAAUAAAUAUCAUUAGCUAUCCUGUAUGUUUAGUAUAAAAUAAAAUGUUUGCUAUUUCAAUAUGCAUCAUUUUCAGGGUA